rnacentral:rRNA from 2 species
ACUCCUACGGGAGGCAGCAGUGGGGAAUAUUGGACAAUGGGCGCAAGCCUGAUCCAGCAAUGCCGCGUGAGUGAUGAAGGCCUUAGGGUUGUAAAGCUCUUUUACCCGGGAAGAUAAUGACUGUACCGGGAGAAUAAGCCCCGGCUAACUCCGUGCCAGCAGCCGCGGUAAU